CGUUCCCUUCGGGGACAGAAUGACAGGUGGUGCAUGGUUGUCGUCAGCUCGUGUCGUGAGAUGUUGGGUUAAGUCCCGCAACGAGCGCAACCCUUAUUAUUAGUUGCCAGCAUUUAGUUGGGCACUCUAAUGAGACUGCCGGUGACAAACCGGAGGAAGGUGGGGAUGACGUCAAAUCAUCAUGCCCCUUAUGACCUGGGCUACACACGUGCUACAAUGGACGGUACAACGAGUUGCGAGACCGCGAGGUUAAGCUAAUCUCUUAAAGCCGUUCUCAGUUCGGAUUGUAGGCUGCAACUCGCCUACAUGAAGUUGGAAUCGCUAGUAAUCGCGGAUCAGAAUGCCGCGGUGAAUACGUUCCCGGGCCUUGUACACACCGCCCGUCACACCAUGAGAGUUUGUAACACCCAAAGCCGGUGAGGUAACCUUUUAGGAGCCAGCCGUCUAAGGUGGGACAGAUGAUUAGGGUGAAGUCGUAACAAGGUAGCCGUAGGAGAACCUGCGGCUGGAUCACCUCCUUU
rnacentral:rRNA from 1 species